UCGUAGUAUCACCAUCAAAUUAUGAUUAUUACUGCACCCACAUUCCUUGAAGAAUCCGGAUUCUUACAAGGCUACUCAGUAGAAGAUUCUAAGAGCAUCCUCACCCAUUGCUGCCACACCC